rnacentral:rRNA from 1 species
GUGGGGAAUCUUCCGCAAUGGACGAAAGUCUGACGGAGCAACGCCGCGUGAGUGAAGAAGGUUUUCGGAUCGUAAAGCUCUUUCGUUAGGGACGAACGUGCUCUUUGUGAAUAAUGAGGAGUAAUGACGGUACCUAAAUAAGAAGCCACGGCUAACUACGUGCCAGCAGCCGCGGUAAUACGUAGGUGGCAAGCGUUGUCCGGAAUUAUUGGUCGUAAAGCGCGCGCAGGCGGGAUAUCAAGUCUGUCUUAAAAGUGAGAGGCUCAACCUCGUGAGGGGACAGAAACUGGUAUUCUUGAGUGUCGGAGAGGAAAGUGGAAUUCCAAGUGUAGCGGUGAAAUGCGUAGAGAUUUGGAAGAACACCAGUGGCGAAGGCGACUUUCUGGACGAUGUCUGACGCUGAGGCGCGAAAGCUAGGGGAGCGAACGGGAUUAGAUACCCUGGUAGUCC